rfam:Enterococcus hermanniensis strain DSM 17122 Scaffold1, whole genome shotgun sequence.
CGCGGGAUGGAGCAGUCUGGUAGCUCGUCGGGCUCAUAACCCGAAGGUCGUAGGUUCAAAUCCUGCUCCCGCAA